UGGCGGACGGGUGAGUAAUGUCUGGGAAACUGCCUGAUGGAGGGGGAUAACUACUGGAAACGGUAGCUAAUACCGCAUAACGUCGCAAGACCAAAGAGGGGACCUUCGGGCCUCUUGCCAUCGGAUGUGCCCAGAUGGGAUUAGCUAGUAGGUGGGGUAACGGCUCACCUAGGCGACGAUCCCUAGCUGGUCUGAGAGGAUGACCAGCCACACUGGAACUGAGACACGGUCCAGACUCCUACGGGAGGCAGCAG
rnacentral:rRNA from 1 species